rnacentral:misc_RNA from 1 species
CGGAUGGCCAAAAAAAAGGUUGCCCGCGUCAUGACGUCAUGGACUCUGGUGUCCGGCCUAUAUAAACACUUUCCAGUGGAGAUUUUUUACACAAGAAGACACGUCAUUUCUCUUUUCCAUCCAAAUUACGCCUCAAUUUGUUCUUCAUUUUGUUUCCUUCAAUUCAACUGUAGCUCUCCAGCUCGAAAAAUGGCGAUGAAGCUUGCUGCUAACUCUGCAAUUCGCUCUUUCGCAUCAUCUUCUGGGAUAUCUGGCUCUUCAGCUUUUGCUAGAUGCUUACAUGCUUCUGCAGGGAGCAAAAAGAUUGUAGGGGUUUUUUACAAGGCCAAUGAGUACGCUGCAAAGAAUCCUAAUUUCUUGGGGUGUGCAGAGCGAGCUUUAGGCAUACGUGAGUGGU